GGAGGAAGGUGGGGAUGAUGUCAAGUCAGCAUGGCCUUUAUAUCCUGGGCUACACACACGCUACAAUGGCCAACACAAUAGGUUGCUAAGCCGCGAGGUGGCGCCAAUCCAUAAAGUUGGUCUCAGUUCAGAUUGUAGGCUGCAACCCGCCUGCAUGAAGAUGGAGUUGCUAGUAACCGCAGGUCAGCUAUACUGCGGUGAAUACGUUCCCGGGGCUU
rnacentral:rRNA from 1 species